UACGUAGGGGGCUAGCGUUGUCCGGAAUCAUUGGGCGUAAAGCGCGCGUAGGCGGCCCGGUAAGUCCGCUCUGAAAGUCCAGGACUCAACCCUGGAAGUGCACUCGAAACUGGCGAGCUUGAAUAUGGAAGAGGGUCGCGGAAUUCCCGGUGUAGAGGUGAAAUUCGUAGAUAUCGGGAGGAACACCAGUGGCGAAAGCGGCGACGUGGGCCAAUAUUGACGCUGAGGUGCGAAAGCGUGGGGAGCAAACAGG
rnacentral:rRNA from 1 species